CUUGCUAUAAUUGUCAGCUAAGUGGCGCACGGGUGAGUAAUGUAUAGAUAACCUGCCCUUAAGAAAGGAAUAACAGUUGGAAACGACUGCUAAUGCCCUAUAUGCCUUUAAUACAUAAGUAUGCAAGGGAAACGCUUUAGUGCUUAAGGAUGGGUCUGUAUGGUAUCAGCUUGUUGGUGAGGUAAUGGCUCACCAAGGCUAUGACGCCUAACUGGUUUGAGAGGAUGAUCAGUCACACUGGAACUGAGACACGGUCCAGACUCCUACGGGAGGCAGCAGUGGGGAAUAUUGCACAAUGGACGAAAGUCUGAUGCAGCAACGCCGCGUGGAGGAUGACACAUUUCGGUGCGUAAACUCCUUUUAUAUAGGAAGAUAAUGACGGUACUAUAUGAAUAAGCACCGGCUAACUCCGUGCCAGCAGCCGCGGUAAUACGGAGGGUGCAAGCGUUACUCGGAAUCACUGGGCGUAAAGAGCGUGUAGGCGGGUAUAUAAGUCAGAAGUGAAAUCCAAUAGCUCAACUAUUGAACUGCUUUUGAAACUGUAUACCUAGAAUGUGGGAGAGGUAGAUGGAAUUUCUGGUGUAGGGGUAAAAUCCGUAG
rnacentral:rRNA from 1 species